GGUUUCUAAGAUCGACGUAAUGAUUAAUAGGGAUAUUGGGGGCAUUAGUAUUCAAUUGUCAGAGGUGAAAUUCUUGGAUUUAUUGAAGACUAACUACUGCGAAAGCAUUUGCCAAGGAUGUUUUCAUUAAUCAGGAACGAAAGCUAGGGGAUCGAAGACGAUCAGAUACCGUCCUAGUCUUAACCAUAAACUAUGCCGACUAGGGAUCGGAGGCGCGCUAUAUCCGCCUUCGGCGCCUUACGGGAAAC
rnacentral:rRNA from 1 species